rnacentral:rRNA from 1 species
AUUGAACGCUGGCGGCAUGCCUUACACAUGCAAGUCGAACGGUAACAGGUCUUCGGAUGCUGACGAGUGGCGAACGGGUGAGUAAUACAUCGGAACGUGCCUAGUAGUGGGGGAUAACUACUCGAAAGAGUGGCUAAUACCGCAUGAGAUCUACGGAUGAAAGCAGGGGAUCGCAAGACCUUGUGCUACUAGAGCGGCCGGUGGCAGAUUAGGUAGUUGGUGGGAUAAAAGCUUACCAAGCCGACGAUCUGUAGCUGGUCUGAGAGGACGAUCAGCCCACAUGGGACUGAGACACGGCCCAGACUCCUACGGGAGGCAGCAGUGGGGAAUUUUGGACAAUGGGCGCAAGCCUGAUCCAGCAAUGCCGCGUGCAGGAUGAAGGCCUUCGGGUUGUAAACUGCUUUUGUACGGAACGAAAAGCCCUGGGUUAAUACCCUGGGGUCAUGACGGUACCGUAAGAAUAAGCACCGGCUAACUACGUGCCAGCAGCCGCUGUAAAAC